UACGUAGGGGCCGAGCGUUGUCCGGAGUUAUUGGGCGUAAAGCGCGCGCAGGCGGCCUCGCGCGCCCGACGUGAAAGCCCCCGGCUUAACCGGAAAAGUGCCUUGGAUACUGCUUGUCUUGAGGGAGGUAGGGGCAUGCGGAACUUCUGGUGGAGCGGUGAAAUGCGUUGAUAUCAGAAGGAACGCCGGUGGCGAAAGCGGCGUGCUGGACCUCUUCUGACGCUGAUGCGCGAAAGCUAGGGGAGCAAACGGG
rnacentral:rRNA from 1 species